CAGUAGCCGCGGUAAAACGGAGGGUGCAAGCGUUAAUCGGAAUUACUGGGCGUAAAGCGCACGCAGGCGGUUUGUUAAGUCAGAUGUGAAAUCCCCGAGCUUAACUUGGGAACUGCAUUUGAAACUGGCAAGCUAGAGUCUUGUAGAGGGGGGUAGAAUUCCAGGUGUAGCGGUGAAAUGCGUAGAGAUCUGGAGGAAUACCAGUGGCGAAGGCGGCCAUCUGGGACAACACUGACGCUGAGGCACGAAAGCGUGGGGAGCAAACAGGAUUAGAUACCCGUGUAGUCCCUGUCUCUUAUAC
rnacentral:rRNA from 1 species